rnacentral:rRNA from 1 species
UGGGGAAUAUUGCACAAUGGAGGGAACUCUGAUGCAGCGACGCCGCGUGAACGAAGAAGGCUUUCGAGUCGUAAAGUUCUUUUAUAUGGGAAGAUAAUGACGGUACCUUAAGAAGAAGCCCCGGCUAACUACGUGCCAGCAGCCGCGGUAAUACGUAGGGGGCUAGCGUUGUCCGGAAUCACUGGGCGUAAAGGGUUCGCAGGCGGAAAUGCAAGUCAGGUGUAAAAGGCAGUAGCUUAACUACUGUAAGCAUUUGAAACUGCAUAUCUUGAGAAGAGUAGAGGUAAGUGGAAUUUUUAGUGUAGCGGUGAAAUGCGUAGAUAUUAAAAAGAAUACCGGUGGCGAAGGCGACUUACUGGGCUCAUUCUGACGCUGAGGAACGAAAGCGUGGGUAGCAAACAGG